UAAUCGGCCCUUUUCAGGGCCAUAAACAUCUUCCGAACGUUGGAA
rfam:Lasius niger Lnig_2.1_13041, whole genome shotgun sequence.